GAUGGGUUGAGGAUUGGGACUAUAACAAUAUUGUUAUUUGCAACAGUUACGAUAUCCUUUAAAUCAUUCAAGAGGAUAAAGGUUCAGGAUUAUGGGGGGUCAAUAAAGAGGUGGUCCCUAAGAAGAAAAAUAUUAACGAUGCAGGAAGCCAACUUGCACCCCCAUUAGGAGAAUUGAUGAAGAUGCUCUUUAAUGCAUACAUGUUAUGACAUAUUUACUAUUUAUUCAAUUUACUCUGCAUUUUAAUUUUUAGAGAAUGUCUUUGCAAGAACUUUUUAACUAUUGCAGAGCUGCAA